UACGUAGGGCGCAAGCGUUAUCCGGAAUUAUUGGGCGUAAAGAGCUCGUAGGCGGCUUGUCGCGUCUGCCGUGAAAGUCCGGGGCUCAACUCCGGAUCUGCGGUGGGUACGGGCAGACUAGAGUGAUGUAGGGGAGACUGGAAUUCCUGGUGUAGCGGUGAAAUGCGCAGAUAUCAGGAGGAACACCGAUGGCGAAGGCAGGUCUCUGGGCAUUAACUGAUGCUGAGGAGCGAAAGCAUGGGGAGCGAACAGG
rnacentral:rRNA from 1 species